rnacentral:ncRNA from 1 species
GUACAACCAGCGUCCACAUUUCGCCUCUGGCAUUUCCCUGUACGUUAGCGAUGAUCCGCAAGGUAGCAAUGGGUGUACCACCUAUAGCGUCAGAGUUCCCUGAUCAGGAUGACGCUUAGGU